UGCGAACUCCUACGGGAGGCAGCAGUGGGGAAUUUUGGACAACGGGGGCAACCCUGAUCCAGCAAUGCCGCGUGAGUGAAGAAGGCCUUCGGGUUGUAAAGCUCUUUUGUCAGGGAAGAAACGGUAGUAGCUAAUAUCUAUUACUAAUGACGGUACCUGAAGAAUAAGCACCGGCUAACUACGUGCCAGCAGCCGCGGUAAUACGUAGGGUACAAGCGUUAAUCGGAAUUACUGGGCGUGAAGCGUGCGCAGGCGGUUGUGUAAGUCAGAUGUGAAAUCCCCGGGCUCAACCUGGGAAUUGAAUUUGAGACUGCACGGCUAGAGAGUGUCAGAGGGGGGUAGAAUUCCACGUGUAGAAAUGAAAUGCGUAGAUAUGUGGAGGAAUACCGAUGGCGAAGGCAGCCCCCUGGGAUAACACUGACGCUCAUGCACGAAAGCGUGGGGAGCAAACAGGAUUAGAUACCCGAGUAGUCCAGAUG
rnacentral:rRNA from 1 species